GUAUGUUCGAUUAUUUCCACACAAUUGUGUUCCAAUGGUCCUUCUUCUGGAACAGUUCCUAGAAAUACUGCUGGAUUUAACAAGUUAGUCGUUUUCAAAGUUACAUCAUCUUGUUCAGUUAGUAUUGCCUGAUAUUUCAUCAUCCGGCUGGGUGAUAACCAGUGGCCCCCCUUUUGCUCUAAAACAGUCAUUACCUUAAGUGAUACUAAAACUUCAGU